rnacentral:rRNA from 1 species
GACGAACGCUGGCGGCGUGCUUAACACAUGCAAGUCGAACGGAAAGGCCCUGCUUUUGUGGGGUGCUCGAGUGGCGAACGGGUGAGUAACACGUGAGUAACCUGCCCUUGACUUUGGGAUAACUUCAGGAAACUGGGGCUAAUACCGGAUAGGAGCUCCUGCUGCAUGGUGGGGGUUGGAAAGUUUCGGCGGUUGGGGAUGGACUCGCGGCUUAUCAGCUUGUUGGUGGGGUAGUGGCUUACCAAGGCUUUGACGGGUAGCCGGCCUGAGAGGGUGACCGGCCACAUUGGGACUGAGAUACGGCCCAGACUCCUACGGGAGGCAGCAGUGGGGAAUAUUGCACAACGGGCGGAAGCCUGAUGCAGCAACGCCGCGUGCGGGAUGACGGCCUUCGGGUUGUAAACCGCUUUCGCCUGUGACGAAGCGUGAGUGACGGUAAUGGGUAAAGAAGCACCGGCUAACUACGUGCCAGCAGCCGCGGUGAUACGUAGGGUGCGAGCGUUGUCCGGAUUUAUUGGGCGUAAAGGGCUCGUAGGUGGUUGAUCGCGUCGGAAGUGUAAUCUUGGGGCUUAACCCUGAGCGUGCUUUCGAUACGGGUUGACUUGAGGAAGGUAGGGGAGAAUGGAAUUCCUGGUGGAGCGGUGGAAUGCGCAGAUAUCAGGAGGAACACCAGUGGCGAAGGCGGUUCUCUGGGCCUUUCCUGACGCUGAGGAGCGAAAGCGUGGGGAGCGAACAGGCUUAGAUACCCUGGUAGUCCACGCUGUAAACGGUGGGUACUAGGUGUGGGGUCCACUCCACGGGUUCCGUGCCGUAGCUAACGCUUUAAGUACCCCGCCUGGGGAGUACGGCCGCAAGGCUAAAACUCAAAGGAAUUGACGGGGCCCCGCACAAGCGGCGGAGCAUGCGGAUUAAUUCGAUGCAACGCGUAGAACCUUACCUGGGUUUGACAUGGAUCGGGAGUGCUCAGAGAUGGGUGUGCCUCCUUUGGGGUCGGUUCACAGGUGGUGCAUGGCUGUCGUCAGCUCGUGUCGUGAGAUGUUGGGUUAAGUCCCGCAACGAGCGCAACCCUUGUUCACUGUUGCCAGCACGUUAUGGUGGGGACUCAGUGGAGACCGCCGGGGUCAACUCGGAGGAAGGUGGGGAUGACGUCAAGUCAUCAUGCCCCUUAUGUCCAGGGCUUCACGCAUGCUACAAUGGCUGGUACAGAGAGUGGCGAGCCUGUGAGGGUGAGCGAAUCUCGGAAAGCCGGUCUCAGUUCGGAUUGGGGUCUGCAACUCGACCUCAUGAAGUCGGAGUCGCUAGUAAUCGCAGAUCAGCAACGCUGCGGUGAAUACGUUCCCGGGGCU